rnacentral:rRNA from 1 species
GACGAACGCUGGCGGCGUGCUUAACACAUGCAAGUCGAACGGAAAGGCCCCUUUGGGGGUACUCGAGUGGCGAACGGGUGAGUAACACGUGAGUAACCUGCCCUUGACUUCGGGAUAACUUCAGGAAACUGGGGCUAAUACCGGAUAGGAAUCCUUGCUGCAUGGUGGGGGUUGGAAAGCUUCGGCGGUUUUGGAUGGACUCGCGGCUUAUCAGCUUGUUGGUGGGGUAGUGGCUUACCAAGGCUUUGACGGGUAGCCGGCCUGAGAGGGCGACCGGCCACAUGGGGACUGAGAUACGGCCCAGACUCCUACGGGAGGCAGCAGUGGGGAAUAUUGCACAAUGGGCGGAAGCCUGAUGCAGCAACGCCGCGUGCGGGAUGACGGCCUUCGGGUGGUAAACCGCUUUCAGCAGGGGCGAAGCUUUUGGGACGGUACCGGCAGAAGAAGCACCGGCGAACUACGG